CCCUUAGAUGUUCUGGGCCGCACGCGCGCUACACUGAUGCAUUCAACGAGUCUAAAACCUGGUCUGAUAGGGCUGGGUAAUCUUUUGAAUGUGCAUCGUGAUUGGGAUAGAUGAUUGCAAUUCUUCAUCUUCAACGAGGAAUGCCUAGUAAACGCAAGUCAUCAGCUUGCAUUGAUUACGUCCCUGCCCUUUGUACACACCGCUCGUCGCUCCUACCGAUUGAAUGUUCCGAUGAAUACCAUGGACUGAGAGUAUGAAUGGGUUCGCCUAUUUCUGCUUCUCGGGAAGUGGAGUAAAUCUUAACAUUUAGAGGAAGGAGAAGUCGUAACA
rnacentral:rRNA from 1 species